GGCUCGCCGAUAAGAAAAAAAUUAUCCCGUGUUGUGGCAUGGUAAGGCAGACUUCAAUCAGGAUCAUCAGGACAGGACCAGUCUAGGGGUGGGAUUCUAGAACAUAGAGAACGAACCAUGGCUGACCCCAGAAUGAGCAAGUGGACUUUACAGGAAGCAGAAGCAGGAGUUAGAACACAUAGGGUAAAAGAUUAUUUGAGAAUACAUGAGGAGGAAAUCAGGCUCCUCGUGUUGUUGGAUGGUGGAAGAUGGAUCAUAGGUCAAAGGUGACUGUUGGUCAGUGAGUGAUAGGUCAGUCCUGUCAGACUGAUUCCACAGGACUCUGGCCAAAUUCAAAAUUUAACAAGUACACAGAUGGGAGUAGGGAGAGGUUCUGAACAAGCAAAGCCUCUAAAGAAAAACACAGAAGACGGAGAUGCUCACUAAGUCAGGAGUACAGAGAAGCAUCAUCCAGUGCUAAAGUAAAGCACGGAAAUGACUGCUUAUAGAGAUGGUUCAGCAGCUAAGACCACACACUACUCUGACAGAUGACUAGAAUUUGGAAAGGCUGGAAAAAGACAAUUUCCUCUUACUGCUUUUAACAGGGUAUCUUCAUGAAGCCUACACUAGCCUCAAACUUUCCAUCCUCCUAUUUCAAUUUCCAGGGUACUGUAGAUUAUAGGCAAGCACUAUGGUAUCCACUGUGUUAUUUAAUCUCUGUCUGGACACUUAAGUGACCUCUGAUAAUACCUGAUCAAGAGACUAAUGAAAAUACUGAGUAGGAUCAUGCACGAGAAACUGCACUGAAAAACUAAGAACUAUUCUGCAAAAGCUGAAGAAUUCCAGACAAAUGCAAUGUAAGGGAGAAGUGGUUUAUCUGGAUUGACAUUGGGGAGCACAGUCCAUCACAACCCGACAGACAUGGCGGCAGGACCAUGAAAUAGCUGUUCACAUUACACUCACAAUCUCGAAGAGUUGAGACUUCUGUGCGGAAAGCAUCGGCCAGGAGAAGCAGCAAGCAAGCAUGAUUUCUUAUAAUGCCUUCUGCUUGUGAGGCAGCCUUAGACUGGAAACCACCAGCUUUGGGGAAAAAGGGUCAUUAAACCUCACGUGUAGCUGCUCCUUAAUUAGCUCUGUGACCUGACAAGCCAAUUUCUCCGGUUUUGUUCAGAUUUUCCAUAUCUGUAAUAUGAAAAUAUACUGCUACUUCCCUCCGGAGCAUUAUGUAUGAGCAUGGACUGAGGAAGAGCUAUGAAAGGCAGAAGUCAGCAGGCAGUCACCUUCCCUGUGGGCCUGAUUCCCAGAUGACUCCAUGCAAAUCUCUUCUAAGGGGCUUGGUGAUAAUUAGGAUGUUAACCCUCACCCAAGCAGUUCCGGGAGAUCUGUGCUUCUAAAGCAGAAUUAGGUGCCGUUUCUCCCAAAUACCAGGAUUGGGCAGGAUAACCAAGGUGUCCAGUGUGAACCCCUGGGGGCUCAGUGGGGGAAGCUAGCAACAGCCUCUCGGAGGCUUCCCCUCAGUCUUGUGAUCACUAUGUGCUACCCUAUGAAUUCAUACUGACCAGGGUUAAGUGACUUUCUUACUUUGGUCUCCCUGGGUAUGCGACUUCUGUUGUUCAUUCAGCCUGGGUCCUAAUGUCCUAGAAGUACCCCAGUAAGUGUUGAGACUAACCACAGUUUAAAAUCUAGGUACUGAACAGGACCUACCUGCUUGCUCGCUCUCUCUCUCUCUCUCUCUCUCUUUCUCUCCACUCCCCUCCCCAUGCCCUGAAUAAACUCAUUUCUAUACUAUACGUCUGU